rnacentral:rRNA from 1 species
CCUACGGGUGGCAGCAGUGGGGAAUAUUGCACAAUGGGGGAAACCCUGAUGCAGCAACGCCGCGUGAGUGAUGACGGCCUUCGGGUUGUAAAGCUCUGUCUUCAGGGACGAUAAUUACGGUACCUGAGAAGGAAUCCACGGCUCACUACGUGCCAGCAGCCGCGGUAAUACGGAGGUGGCGAGCGUUGUCCGGAUUUACUGGGCGUAAAGGGAGCGUAGGCGGUAUGUUAAGUGAAGGGUGAAAUCCCCGCGCUCAACGUGGGAACUGCCGUUGAAACUGGCAAACUGGAGUGUGUGAGAGGAGAGUGGAAUUCCAGGUGUAGGAGUGAAAUGCGUAGAUAUCGGGAGGAACAUCAGUGGCGAAGGCGACUAUCUGGCACAUAACUGACGCUGAGGAGCGAAAGCGUGGGUAGCAAACAGGAUUAGAUACCCCAGUAGUC